rnacentral:misc_RNA from 1 species
UCUCCGUUGGUGAACCAGCGGAGGGAUCAUUACAGGACUCGCAAGACUCCCGUAACCACUGUGAACCUACCUAUACUCGUUGCCUCGGCGGGUGCUCCGGCUCGCUCCGGAGCGCUACGCCCGCCGGCGGCCCCUUACUCUUUGCCUCUCGCGUUGUCUCUCCGAGUAUCGCAGAAUGCAUAAAAACUUUCAACAACGGAUCUCUUGGUUCUGGCAUCGAUGAAGAACGCAGC